rnacentral:rRNA from 1 species
UGCGAACUCCUACGGGAGGCAGCAGUGGGGAAUUUUGGACAAUGGGCGCAAGUCUGACCGAGCAACGCCGCGUGAGUGAAGAAGGUUUUCGGAUCGUAAAGCUCUGUUGUAAGAGAAGAACGAGUGUGAGAGUGGAAAGUUCACACUGUGACGGUAUCUUACCAGAAAGGGACGGCUAACUACGUGCCAGCAGCCGCGGUAAUACGUAGGUCCCGAGCGUUGUCCGGAUUUAUUGGGCGUAAAGCGAGCGCAGGCGGUUAGAUAAGUCUGAAGUUAAAGGCUGUGGCUUAACCAUAGUACGCUUUGGAAACUGUUUAACUUGAGUGCAAGAGGGGAGAGUGGAAUUCCAUGUGUAGCGGUGAAAUGCGUAGAUAUAUGGAGCAACACCGGUGGCGAAAGCGGCUCUCUGGCUUGUAACUGACGCUGAGGCUCGAAAGCGUGGGGAGCAAACAGGAUUAGAUACCCCGGUAGUCCAGAGAA